GAUGAACGCUGGCGGCAUGCUUUACACAUGCAAGUCGGACGGGAAGUGGUGUUUCCAGUGGCGGACGGGUGAGAAACGCGUAAGAACUUGCCCUUGGGAGGGGAACAACAGCUGGAAACGGCUGCUAAUACCCCGUAGGCUGAGGAGCGAAAGGAGGAACCCGCACAAGGAGGGGCGCGCGUGAGAUUCGCGAGUGGGUGGGGAAAUAGCAUACCAAGGACGAGAUCAAUCGCGGGUGUGAGAGGAUGAUCAGACACAGUGGCACUGAGACAGGCCCGAGACCUACGCGAGAGAGAGGAGUGGAAAUUACCGGAAUAGGCGAGAGCCUGAGAGACCGAUAUGGCGUGUAAGUAAAGAAGCUAUGAGUCUUGUACAGCUUUUCCUGGAGAAGUGACAAUGACAGUAUCUGGAGAAUAAGCACCGGCUAACUCUGUG
rnacentral:rRNA from 1 species